UUUCAGACCCAUCACCUAUGUAAGUUUAAUUUGACUUCCAGUACAAUAGGUGGCGAUAAUGCUCUUAAGGAGUUAUUCGCCAUUAAACAAGACGAAGGUGUUACAUCAGGGACAUUUAUGUACUUUGCGCGCCUAAACGGGCUGAAACUUUUCUCACCGUUGCCAUUUUCUUUGACCCACGAAUCGCGAUGCGGAGCAAACGAGGCCGGAAAAUACAGAGAUGAAAUGUUUUAUGUUAUUCACACAGUAUUAAUGUUAUAACAUUACAUUGUUUUAGAACGAUAUUUAUGUGCUGUGUGUGCGGCUUGCGGUGCGGAGUUGACGAGGAGGUUGCUUUUUAACAGGAAAACACUGAAAGUGCGAAACUUUUCUCUCAGAAGACAUUUCCUUUGACUCGCGGUGCAGACACGGAGGUUUUAACAGAGAACACUGAAAUCUUAAACCUUUCUCAUAGACAUAAUUUUCUUUGACGUGAUACUGACAAGACAGAUGUUUUUGGACUUUUUGGAAAACACCAAAAAGAGACAUUUGCUUUGAUUCACGGCAAAGAAGUUACAAUUAUCAACAAGAGACCUAAAACCUUGAAAGAGAUGAGAGUGAACCUGGAGUGGCAGAGGGGCUAAGAGAGAAAGAAUACUGGAGAGACAAAGUGUGAACUGUGUAAGACACAGCGGAGGAGAAGAUGCGAUGAAAUCUUUCAGAAAUACCAGCAGACUGAAGAUCGAUGCAACUAUCUGCGCAAGUCAUCACUGUCUGUGUUUUUAGAUUGUAACACUUCAUCCAUGUCUGCAUGUAACGGUGUCUGCUUCAUCAGAUGAAGAAGACAAAAAGCUUAUCUAUUUAACGUAACUGUAUAAUUUAAAUGUGUAUAUAAAUCCCAUUCCAGCCCCAUUAUUUACCUUAUUCCUGUCACAUAUAAACUUGGUGUGUUGGAGUGGAAAUAAAGUGCUUAACGGAUAUUUAAUAGGUGUGUAAUUGAAAUUGGCUGUGGUGUUCAACUAUUGAGUGAAACUGUUGAUCCCUUCCUGGACCUUCAAGAACGCAUUUACCGAUCAGCAGGUUCAGUAUGAGGUACAGUUAGAGGUACAGUGUUACUGAUACACUGUAAAAAAAAAGUUGAGCCAACUUAAAAUUUUAAGGCAACCAGCUUCAGCAGAUUUUUGAGUUUUCUCAACUUGUCGUUUUAAGUUUAUACAACAAAAAUUUGAGAAU